CAAGUACUCCCUCCGUCCAAAAAUACUUGUCAUCAAAAUGGAUAAAAAAGAUGUAUCUAGAACUAAUAUACAUCUAGAUACAUCCCCUUUUAUUCAUUUUGAUGACAAGUAUUUCCGGACAGAGGGAGUACUAC
rnacentral:pre_miRNA from 1 species